rnacentral:rRNA from 1 species
UGAGGAAUAUUGGGCAAUGAGCGAAAGCUUGACCCAGCGACACCGCGUGAGGGAAGAAGGCCUUCGGGUUGUAAACCUCUUUUCUUGGGGAAGAAUUUUGACGGUACCCAAGGAAUAAGCCUCGGCCAACUACGUG